rnacentral:pre_miRNA from 3 species
UCUUAUGGAUGAACAAAGAAAAUAGUUUCUUGAAAUGGAAUCUAUCACUGGUGAAGAUGGUGUGAU